GGGCUCGUUGCUCAGUUGGCUAGAGCGUUGGCUGUUUUAAAGCCUUCCAUUUGCUAGUGUGGGUUCGAAUUCCACCAUGGCCG
rnacentral:tRNA from 1 species